GGAUGUGAGGGCGAUCUGGCUGCGACAUCUGUCACCCCAUUGAUCGCCAGGGUUGAUUCGGCUGAUCUGGCUGGCUAGGCGGGUGUCCCCUUCCUCCCUCACUGCUCCAUGUGUGUCCCUCCUGAAGCUGCACGCUCAGUCGAAGAGGACGACCUUCCCCGAUAGAGGAGAGGACCGUUCUUCGGUCAAGGGUAUAUGAGUAGCUGCGCUCCCCUGCUAGAACCUCCAAACAAGCUCUCAAGGAUGUCCCAGUCUGGGAUGGGGCCAGCUCUGA
rnacentral:snRNA from 1 species